rnacentral:rRNA from 1 species
ACCAGACUCCUACGGGAGGCAGCAGUGAGGCCUCUUGGUCAAUGGCCGCCGGGCUGAACCCGCCCAGCCGCGUGCCGGCAUAAGGCCCUCCGGGUCGUAACCUUCUUUAGUCAGGGCCCCCAGGGAGCCCCGCGUGGCGCUGUGCGUGUACCUGAAGACUCCGCAUCGGCUACCUCCGUGCCAGCCGCCGCGGUAAUACGGCGGCUGCGAGCGUUCUCCGGAUUUAGGGGGGUUAAAGGGUGCGCAGGCGGAGGGGCAAGUCAGCGGGCAAAGGGCGGGGCGCAACCCCGUACUGCCGUUGAAACUGCAUCCCUUGAGGGCGCGAGAAGUAGGCGGAAUGCGUGGGGGAGCGGUGAAAGGCAGAGAUAUCACGCAGAACUCCGAUUGCGAAGGCAGCAUACCGGCGCGCAACUGACGCGCAUGCACGAAAGCGGGGGUAUCGAACAGGAUUAGAUACCCGAGUA